GUAAAGUGUAACUAUUCUUACUCUCUGAAACGUGUCCUUUCUUUUUCUGUUCUUCACUUGAGUGCUGUAAUGUCUUACCUGAAAUCUAGAGAUCUCAGGAAGGUAUUCUUGACUAUGGGUGGAUGUUAAGUCCACGUUUCUGUAAAUGAAUAAGGGCUGGAACCUUCUAUUCCAUCAUCUUGCUAACAUCACUCUGUAAUACCUUUCCAAUGGGGCUUCCUGUUUGGGGUCUCUCUACCUCUUAAUCAUUCGAGGUAAGAACUAAUCUUACUUACAUACUUUCUUCAUGUCAGUCCUAGACUCAAGAACUUCUGAUAGCUUUAAUAUGACUAUCAAAUAUAAGUUCAAACCUCUCUUUCUGACAUUCCAGGUCCUGCCACUGGGCUAUCACACCUGCUCUGCUUUCCUCACCUAUGGUUUGUACCCCAGUCAUUUGGAUUCUCUUAUUGAGACCCAGAGAAAACCCUGUGCCUUCCUGUUCUUUCAUCUUUGCCCUUGCUCUUGACAUUGCCUCUCUAUUGUCAUUCAUCUCUUUAAAUUAUUCUCAACUACUUCAAGUUCUACUUACAUUACCAAAUAAUCUACAAAAAGCCACUCCAUAAUAAUUUCAGCCCAUAGCAACCUAUAUUCUAUUUUUCUUUUCAUAAUACUUAGUAGGAGUUCUCCAUAUUUCUAUAUUUGAUUUUCUUCAAUGUGUAUGUUGUCUGCUAAUAUUAUCUAAUGUUUCAACUGCAAGUUCUGUUCUAAAAAGUCUCAGGAUUUCCUCCUGUGCAUUUUAACUCUGAGUAAGGUAGGCAGGAUGCCUUGCAUUCAGCUUUAUUGUCCAGAGAGAUGAAGACAGUUCCUGAAGGUACAGAUGGAGAAGAUAGUCCAGAGAAGGUG
rnacentral:lncRNA from 1 species